GUGCUUGCUUCGGCAACACAUGUCCUAAAAUUAGAAUGAUACAGAGCAGAUUAGCAUGGCCUUGUGAAAGGAUGGCACACAAAUUCAUGAAGCAUUUCAUUAAAAA